UACGGAGGAUACGAGCGUUAUCCGGAUUUAUUGGGUUUAAAGGGAGCGUAGGUGGAUUGUUAAGUCAGUUGUGAAAGUUUGCGGCUCAACCCCGGCGAGCCGUUGAAACUGGCUGUCUUGAGAUGUCGAGAGGUAUGCGGAAUGCGCAGUGUAGCGGUGAAAUGCUUAGAUAUUGCGCAGAACUCCGAUUGCGAAGGCAGCUUACCAGUCUGCGACUGACGCUCAGGCACGAAAGUGUGGGUAUCGAACAGG
rnacentral:rRNA from 1 species